GUAGACGUGCCCGAGUGGUCUAAGGGGCAAGAUUUAGGCUCUUGUAUUAAUUUGCGUGGGUUCAAAUCCCACCGUCUACA